rnacentral:rRNA from 1 species
UACGAAGGGGGCUAGCGUUGCUCGGAAUCACUGGGCGUAAAGCGCACGUAGGCGGCUUUCUAAGUCAGGGGUGAAAUCCUGGAGCUCAACUCCAGAACUGCCUUUGAUACUGGAGAGCUUGAGUCCGGGAGAGGUGAGUGGAACUCCGAGUGUAGAGGUGAAAUUCGUAGAUAUUCGGAAGAACACCAGUGGCGAAGGCGGCUCACUGGCCCAUAACUGACGCUGAGGCACGAAAGCGUGGGGAGCAAACAGG